rnacentral:rRNA from 1 species
UACAGAGGGUGCGAGCGUUGUUCGGAAUUAUUGGGCGUAAAGGGCGCGUAGGCGGCGCCACAAGUCACUUGUGAAAACUCUGGGCUCAACUCAGAGCCUGCAAGCGAAACUGUGGUGCUGGAGUAUGGGAGAGGUGCGUGGAAUUCCCGGUGUAGCGGUGAAAUGCGCAGAUAUCGGGAGGAACACCUAUGGCGAAGGCAGCUCGCUGGGACGUUACUGACGCUGAGACGCGAAAGCGUGGGGAGCAAACAGG